rnacentral:rRNA from 1 species
UACAGAGGGUGCAAGCGUUAAUCGGAAUUACUGGGCGUAAAGCGUGCGUAGACGGUUAUGUAAGUCAGAUGUGAAAGCCCCGGGCUCAACCUGGGAAUUGCAUUUGAGACUGUGUAGCUAGGGUGCGGAAGAGGGAAGCGGAAUUUCCGGUGUAGCGGUGAAAUGCGUAGAUAUCGGAAGGAACAUCUGUGGCGAAGGCGACACCCUGGACCAGCACUGACACUGAGGCACGAAAGCGUGGGGAGCAAACAGG